rnacentral:rRNA from 1 species
GAGUUUGAUCCUGGCUCAGAUUGAACGCUGGCGGCAGGCCUAACACAUGCAAGUCGAGCGGAUGAAGGGGGCUUGCUCCUGGAUUCAGCGGCGGACGGGUGAGUAAUGCCUAGGAAUCUGCCUGGUAGUGGGGGAUAACGUCCGGAAACGGGCGCUAAUACCGCAUACGUCCUGAGGGAGAAAGUGGGGGAUCUUCGGACCUCACGCUAUCAGACGAGCCUAGGUCGGAUUAGCUAGUUGGUGGGGUAAAGGCCUACCAAGGCGACGAUCCGUAACUGGUCUGAGAGGAUGAUCAGCCACACUGGAACUGAGACACGGUCCAGACUCCUACGGGAGGCAGCAGUGGGGAAUAUUGGACAAUGGGCGAAAGCCUGAUCCAGCCAUGCCGCGUGUGUGAAGAAGGUCUUCGGAUUGUAAAGCACUUUAAGUUGGGAGGAAGGGCAGUAAGUUAAUACCUUGCUGUUUGACGUUACCAACAGAAUAAGCACCGGCUAACUUCGUGCCAGCCGCCGCGU